rnacentral:rRNA from 1 species
GACGAACGCUGGCGGCGUGCUUAACACAUGCAAGUCGAACGGAAAGGCCCUGCUUUUGUGGGGUGCUCGAGUGGCGAACGGGUGAGUAACACGUGAGUAACCUGCCCUUGACUUUGGGAUAACUUCAGGAAACUGGGGCUAAUACCGGAUAGGAGCUCCUGCUGCAUGGUGGGGGUUGGAAAGUUUCGGCGGUUGGGGAUGGACUCGCGGCUUAUCAGCUUGUUGGUGGGGUAGUGGCUUACCAAGGCUUUGACGGGUAGCCGGCCUGAGAGGGUGACCGGCCACAUUGGGACUGAGAUACGGCCCAGACUCCUACGGGAGGCAGCAGUGGGGAAUAUUGCACAAUGGGCGGAGGCCUGAUGCAGCAACGCCGCGUGCGGGAUGACGGCCUUCGGUUUGUAAACCGCUUUCGCCUGUGACGAAGCGUGAGUGACGGUAAUGGGUAAAGAAGCACCGGCUAACUACGUG